GGUAACGGCUUACCAAGGCGACGAUCAGUAGCCGGCUUGAGAGAGUGAACGGCCACAUUGGGACUGAGACACGGCCCAAACUCCUACGGGAGGCAGCAGUGGGGAAUAUUGCACAAUGGGGGAAACCUUGAUGCAGCGACGCCGCGUGAGUGAAGAAGUAUUUCGGUAUGUAAAGCUCUAUCAGCAGGGAAGAUAAUGACGGUACCUGACUAAGAAGCCCCGGCUAACUACGUGCCAGCAGCCGCGGUAAUACGUAGGGGGCAAGCGUUAUCCGGAUUUACUGGGUGUAAAGGGUGCGUAGGUGGCAAGGCAAGUCAGAUGUGAAAGCCCGGGGCUCAACCCCGGUACUGCAUUUGAAACUGUCUAGCUAGAGUGCAGGAGAGGUAAGCGGAAUUCCUAGUGUAGCGGUGAAAUGCGUAGAUAUUAGGAGGAACACCAGUGGCGAAGGCGGCUUACUGGACUGUAACUGACACUGAGGCACGAAAGCGUGGGGAGCAAACAGGAUUAGAUACCCUGGUAGUCCACGCCGUAAAC
rnacentral:rRNA from 1 species